UCAGAUUAUCGGCUAAUCGCGUGUGGUAACACACGAGGAAAGUCCGGGCAGCAUAGGGAAAUGGCAGUCGCUAACGGCGACCGAGCGCGAGCUUAGGGAAAGUGCCACAGAAACUAAACCGCCAGCUUGCUGGUAAGGAUGAAACGAGUAGGGUAAAAGCCUACAUUGCCUGUCGGUGACGACAGGGAACGGUAAACCCUGCCUGCUGCAAGGAAAUGGAUUCUCUGAGGCCUAAAGCCUAGAGCGUCCCGCUGAGAAUUCAUUACAAAAACCGCUUGAGCCAGCGGGCAACCGCUGGCCUAGAUAGAUGAUUAGCAGUACUGGUUCGCUAGUAUACAAAACCCGGCUUACAGAUAGUCUGACAUA
rnacentral:RNase_P_RNA from 1 species